rnacentral:misc_RNA from 1 species
UUCGCAGGUAUAUUUCUUCUGCUACAGCCUAUUGGUGAUCCCACGAAAGGACAACUACACUGCAUAUACAGUAAAUAUUCAUAAAACAGAAACUACACUUUUGACAUACACUCCAGUUCACACUGAGAACGUCUAAUUGCUGCAAUGCAACUGACAGGACUUGUUCACAAAAUUAUAUAAGCAACGUACUGGAAAAAGCAAAACACAAGACAGAUUCUGAAUAGCCGCUACCACUGAAUUUCUAUUAAAUAGUCAACUGUUAGUACAAUCUCAAAAAUUUCUAAGCCUAACAAGCUUCAGUUUUGUCCAAAUGGUGAGCUAUAUGUUAUUCCUAAAUCAAUGUAACCUUUGCUUCACCCGCCUUCCAUUCACAUCACCAUCCAAGCUUUCAAUUUCAUGGCCACAACAGAUGGCAGAACGCUCACCAAUUCUAGCCACAUAUUGUAGAAGUUCUGUGAUGACAGAAGGACAACUUUCCUUUAAAUAUUCAAAUCCAUCUGUCUGCAUCACAGCUUUCAA